rnacentral:rRNA from 1 species
UACGGAGGAUCCAAGCGUUAUCCGGAUUUAUUGGGCGUAAAGAGCGUGUAGGCGGCCAGGUAGGUCCGUUGUGAAAACUGGAGGCUUAACCUCCAGCUGUCGAUGGAAACCAUCUGGCUAGAGUCCGGAAGAGGAGAGUGGAAUUCCUGGUGUAGCGGUGAAAUGCGCAGAUAUCAGGAAGAACACCCGUGGCGAAGGCGGCUCUCUGGGACGGUACUGACGCUGAGGCACGAAAGCUAGGGGAGCGAACGGG